rnacentral:rRNA from 1 species
CACGUAGGAGGCGAGCGUUGUCCGGAAUCAUUGGGCGUAAAGAGCGCGCAGGCGGUCGUUCAAGUCGAGUGUGAAAGCCCCCGGCUCAACUGGGGAGGGUCAUUCGAUACUGAUCGACUCGAAGGCAGGAGAGGGAAGUGGAAUUCCCGGUGUAGUGGUGAAAUGCGUAGAUAUCGGGAGGAACACCAGUGGCGAAGGCGACUUCCUGGCCUGUUCUUGACGCUGAGGCGCGAAAGCUAGGGGAGCAAACGGG